UUUUUGUAAUUAAUAUAAAGUCUAAUCUGCCCACUGAUAAAUUAUUAAAGGGCUGCAGUAUUUUGACUGUACAAAGGUAGCAUAAUCAUUUGUCUCUUAAUUGGUGACUUGUAUGAAAGAUUGGAUGAAAUAUAAACUGUCUCCUUAUAAUAAGUAAAAUUUAAUUUUUUAGUAAAAAAGCUAAAAUAAUUUUAAAAGACGAGAAGACCCUAUAGAGUUUAAUAAUUAUUUUUGUAUAAAAUAAAAUAUAAAAAUUUAAAUUUAAAUGAAAAUAAUUAUUUUGUUGGGGUGAUAGAAAAAUUAAAUUAACUUUUUUUAAUAGAUAUACAUUAAUAAGUGAUUAAAUGAUCCAUUAAUAAUGAUUAUAAGAAAAAAUUACCUUAGGGAUAACAGCGUAAUUUUUUUUUUUAGGCCAAAUAAGAAAAAGAGUUUGCGACCCCGAUGUUGGAUUAAGAUAAAAUUUAAAUGUAAAAGUUUAAAGUUUUGAUCUGUUCGAUCAUUAAAA
rnacentral:rRNA from 1 species